GUCUACGGCCAUGCCACCCUGAACAAGCCCGAUCCCGUCCGAUCUCGGAAGCUAAGCAGGGUCAGGCGCAGUUAGUACUUGGAUGGGAGACCACCUAGGAAGACCAAGUGCUGUAGGCG
rnacentral:rRNA from 1 species